CGCUCGGCGAGCAGCCGGUUGACCGCCGCCUCGCCCUCGUGGUGGGCGGUGGCGCCCUGUUCGGCGUCGAUCGCGUCCACGCCCAGCACC
rnacentral:tRNA from 1 species